AAGGAGGGAGGAGAUAAUGAAAACAAUCUGUGUAAAUAAAAAAUUGUCCGGAUGCUUUAAACUUUUGUUUCCGAUAAUAUGACCUAUACACGAAUUUCAUAUUUAUCACACUCAACAUUAUUUAUUAUAAAAAGUAACACGUCGUCAAAAAACAAAGUUAGAAUAAUUAAAAAAAUGUAAAGCAAUUGUACUCUUCAUAGAAUUAAUAAGCUUACCUCAUUUGAUCCAACAACAAAUUGUACAACUAAUGGUGCUAUAAUGGAGAAAAUAUUGGAAGAUCCAUUACCGAUACCCAUAAGUACACCAGAAAAUCUUGGUGAAAGGUCCACUGGAUUUAUUUGGAAUCCGGUGAAGCAAGCCGCAUUUACGCCGACUGCUAUUAUCAACAUCAUUACUGAAAGUACUGAUUGAUUCUCUGGUAAAUAUCCUAAUACUACUAGAGCUAUAGCUGGUACAAUUAAUCCUUAAACGAAAAAAAUUGUGAAGUGAAAAAAUCUAUUUGCUUCUAAUAAACUUACCAAUUGAGUUAAAUAGUUUCCUUGCGUUUUCUAGAGAAAUAAAGUUUCGAUUUAUAAGAAAAUCUGACAACGCUCCAAAGACAAAACUUAAAAUAAAUGAUGCUAAGUACGGAGCAGCUGACAAUAUACUGUUCUGAAAUAGAAAGAAUAUUAUCAUUAGAAUUUUGUUCGCAUUUUUUUAUAUUUCAUGCAAUAAUUGUCCAGUUUUUGAAAAAAUGGUUGAUACAAGCGACACCAGAGGCGCCUAAUGUACUUGGAUCAAUCUUCCCAGAUGUACCGUUGGCACCAAUGAGUUUUUGGCGGUCUAAGAAUUUCUUAUCAUUUUAAACAGCUCUACCAAACAUUCAACAAGUGUUUUAUGGUGGUGUUGAACUUUAGUUUGUGAAGCUUCCCUGAACAAAAGAAUUAAAAAAGACCCUAAUCUUAGGAAUAAGUGGCUAGCGACUGAAACAAGAGGCAAUAUUAAACCAAGUGACUAUACAGUGAUUUGUGAAAAACACUUCAUCAAAGAAGACUUUGAAGUUGAUGUACAUGAUAAUAUAAUUUUAAAAGCAGGAUCAGUUCCUUCUGUUUUUGAUGUUCCCAUACAUUAACAAGUACAAUAAAGGAAAAUAUUUAGAUUAAAGUAAAAUAAUAUCUGUUAAUUAUUAAUCAUAUAAUAUAAAGGUUGGCAUUUAUAUGAAUAUUAUUCUCGACUUGGUAAUUUGUCAUUUUACUUACUAACUAACUAACAAAUUUUCAUUUUCGAAUCUAAGAAUCCAACUGUUUAACAGGGUAAAAUUUAAAGAAAGUAACUUAAAUGAAAAAUGAGGAGGUAAAUAUUUUGGGAGGUAGCACUUGAUACUAAUUCCAAAUCUAACAAAUAUCAUCACAAUACAAUCAGAAAACGAAGACAGAAGAUGAACAAUUUUAACUUAUUGUUGGAAGAGAAGAUAUAUUCUGAAUAGUUGUUAAUGUUGAAGUUAUAGUAAAUUUUGAAUAAAGUUUUAUGAGUUGUUUGUAUGAUUUUUGUUAUUAGAUUUUUUUAUUGUUGGAAAGCGUGCCUGAAAGAUAAAUAAGUCUUAUGAUUAUUGUAAUCCACCCUGCAUAAUGUAUAUAUUAAAUGUAAGAAUAUCUUUUCUCUUCAUUAUAUUUUAAUUUCUAUUAUUAUUUAUUGUAUGAUUCAGGGUUUUUACAUACCUCGCAAACAUACUAUUUUGUUACAUUUUAUGUACUUGUCCUAAACAAAUGCCAAUAAUAUAAUCCCUCAUUUUUUAACAAGAAUAUUAGGUUUUAAGAAGACAUUACCCAUCCAACUUUCAAACUGUACACAUGUAAUAAAUAUUAUUAUAUUGUAUGAGUAAAUAUUUUUAAAUUUUUGAAUAAACAAGUUCGCAUGA